GUGUUUCACUCAAUCACUCAAGUGUCUAAGGUUACACUCCACUCUCUAUUGUUCACAAGUCACAUGAAACAAAAUUGCCAUUCAUCUCAAACAAUCAACAUCUUUACAUGAAAAUGCCAUCAAAAGGACUUUUCCAAGGCAUGUAAUGAGGUUGGGCUAACAAGAAAGAAUUGGUUUUUCUAGAAUGAAAAAUCCUUGAGUCAAGAGAGCUAUCAAAACAUUCAACAUUUAAGCACAACUCUCUCACCAAUGUCUCUCGUUCCCAACUUUUCCCUCUUCUUUUUGUUUUGCAUUGAGCUCUUCUUCAUGCUUUUCUUCUUUUCUUUUUCUUUUUCUCAUGAAUUUUUCUUUUCACAAUAUUUGAGCUCAAUGCUUUUCACUUGCUUUUUCAAUUUUCCCCCGUACAACCCCAAACUUGAACCUUUUCAUCACAUACAAUUAGGCUCAUCCCAACUCAAGGUAAAGAAUUUCAAAACAAGGGUUCACAUAUUGUUUAAGGCUAAGGUUCAAAAAGGGUAUAAUAUUUUAAGUAUUUUGGGUGAGAAUUUGGCUAGAGAAGGGUUUUCAAAAAUGGCCUUGAUCAUAUGACAUUCACAUGCAAUUCAAUCAAUCAUCAAGAUUAAGGCAAUAUCAUCCAUGUUUUCCUGUGAACAAUACAUGCAAUAAUAAAAACUCUGGAGCUCAAAAUCUCACACACAUGCUUCCUCACACAAAAUUCAUUCAUACACCAUGCCUAGCAUCAUGACCACAAUCAUAAAUUCAUCACCCAUCUAUUUCCUGGAUAUCAACAUGCGUCGCAACUCAAUUCUCAUCCACAUCAAAUAGUCAUCAAAUAGAUCCAUCAUGCACAUCAGUCAGUCAAACAUUUUCAGAAUAAGUGUUAAAGCCAAGAGUACACACCAAAAUAAAAAUUCAACCUAUUCUAUAAAUUUAAGAAGAAGCAAAAUAAAAUAAAAAAAUAAAAGCAACAGAAAGAAAAACUAAAUCCUGUCUAUAGACAUCCCUCAGUAGAUGUCUGCUAUUAGCCCAUGCUGUCAUCAGAGUCCUCCUGACUCUCAUCAUCUGCGUCCUCAAAGUUCUCCUCCUCAGUGUUAGGAGCUCUAGUUGCUCCAAACCCACUACUCUGCGCCUGCUGCUCAGGCCAUGCCACAACUAUAUGAAACUCGUCCAUAGUCCACAUGUGCACUGGUGGCUGGUCAUAUAAUCCAAUGAUCAUCUCAGUCGUCAUCACCUGCCCUUUGUGAAGGGCUUCCAUCCGGGCC
rnacentral:lncRNA from 1 species